UACGUAGGGGCCUAGCGUUGUCCGGAUUUAUUGGGCGUAAAGAGCUUGUAGGUGGUUCGGUAAGUCGGAUGUGAAAUCUCCAGGCUCAACCUGGAGGGGUCAUUCGAUACUGCCGUGACUAGAGUUCGGUAGAGGAGUGUGGAAUUCCUGGUGGAGCGGUGAAAUGCGCAGAGAUCAGGAGGAACACCCGUAGCGAAGGCGGCACUCUGGGCCGAUACUGACACUGAGGAGCGAAAGCGUGGGGAGCGAACAGG
rnacentral:rRNA from 1 species